rnacentral:miRNA from 1 species
UGUGUGUGUGUAUGUGUGUAUAUAUACAUAUAUAUAUAUACAUAUAUAUAUAUACACAUACACUCACCCACC